rnacentral:rRNA from 1 species
CAGUAGCGCGGGAAAACGUAGGGUGCAAGCGUUAAUCGGAAUUACUGGGCGUAAAGCGUGCGCAGGCGGUUUGUUAAGACAGAUGUGAAAUCCCCGGGCUCAACCUGGGAACUGCAUUUGUGACUGGCAAGCUAGAGUCUGGCAGAGGGGGGUGGAAUUCCGCGUGUAGCAGUGAAAUGCGUAGAUAUGCGGAGGAACACCGAUGGCGAAGGCAGCCCCCUGGGCCAACACUGACGCUCAUGCACGAAAGCGUGGGGAGCAAACAGGAUUAGAUACCCCAGUAGUCCCUGUCUCUUAUACC